rnacentral:rRNA from 1 species
UGGGGAAUAUUGCGCAAUGGCCGAAAGGCUGACGCAGCGACGCCGCGUGUGGGAUGACGGCCUUCGGGUUGUAAACCACUGUCGGGAGGGAAGAAUACAGGGCCUCAAAUAGCGGACCCUGGGUGACGGUACCUCCAAAGGAAGCACCGGCUAACUCCGUGCCAGCAGCCGCGGUAAUACGGAGGGUGCGAGCGUUGUCCGGAAUUACUGGGCGUAAAGGGCGCGUAGGCGGUUCGUUAAGUUGUCGGUGAAAUCCCGGGGCUCAACUCCGGGGCUGCCGGCAAGACUGGCGGUCUAGAGCACGGUAGAGGCAGAUGGAAUUCCCGGUGUAGCGGUGGAAUGCGUAGAUAUCGGGAAGAAUACCGGUGGCGAAGGCGUUCUGCUGGGCCGUUGCUGACGCUGAGGCGCGACAGCGUGGGGAGCAAACAGGAUUAGAUACCCCGUAGUCC